rnacentral:rRNA from 1 species
GGGUAACGGCCCACCAAGUCGACGAUCGGUAGCCGGACUGAGAGGUUGAACGGCCACAUUGGGACUGAGACACGGCCCAGACUCCUACGGGAGGCAGCAGUGAGGGAUAUUGGUCAAUGGGGGAAACCCUGAACCAGCAACGCCGCGUGAGGGAUGACGGCCUUCGGGUUGUAAACCUCUGUCCUCUGUGAAGAUAAUGACGGUAGCAGAGGAGGAAGCUCCGGCUAACUAC